UGGGGAAUAUUGGACAAUGGGCGAAAGCCUGAUCCAGCCAUGCCGCGUGUGUGAAGAAUGUCUUCGGAUUGUAAAGCACUUUAAGUUGGGAGGAAGGGCAUUAACCUAAUACGUUAGUGUUUUGACGUUACCGACAGAAUAAGCACCGGCUAACUCUGUGCCAGCAGCCGCGGUAAUACAGAGGGUGCAAGCGUUAAUCAGAAUUACUGGGCGUAAAGCGCGCGUAGGUGGUUUGUUAAGUUGGAUGUGAAAUCCCCGGGCUCAACCUGGGAACUGCAUUCAAAACUGACUGACUAGAGUAUGGUAGAGGGUGGUGGAAUUUCCUGUGUAGCGGUGAAAUGCGUAGAUAUAGGAAGGAACACCAGUGGCGAAGGCGACCACCUAGACGAAUACUGACACUGAGGUGCGAAAGCGUGGGGAGCAAACA
rnacentral:rRNA from 1 species